rnacentral:lncRNA from 1 species
AGGUUGUCUUCUCGUGCAGUCUCAGUUAAUGGGGUAGGAACAAAAGGAAGAGUGUUGUAAUAUCAAGAAAUAGGAGAAAAUUCAACCAUGGCCCCAAGGAAGAGAGGCGGAAGGGGGAUUUCAUUUAUCUUUUGCUGUUUCCGAAACAAUGACCACCCAGAAAUCACAUAUCGGCUUAGGAAUGAUAGCAACUUUGCACUUCAGACAAUGGAGCCAGCACUGCCCAUGCCCCCUGUGGAGGAGCUGGAUGUCAUGUUCAGUGAACUUGUG